GCAGGGAUGGCAGAGCGGUCAAAUGCUCCAGACUGUAAAUCUGGCGUCGCGAGACUACGGGGGUUCGAGUCCCUCUCCCUGCACCA
rnacentral:tRNA from 2 species